ACUGGAGGACUAAUCAGACUGAGUCUAAAGAGUGAGACUCGGGUGACAGUGGCCUCCUAAAAGAAAAGGGAUGGAGAGAGCAGUCCUACUUACAGAAAAGCGAAGGGCUGACUGUGCCAUCUGACACUU
rnacentral:snoRNA from 1 species